rnacentral:rRNA from 1 species
CCUGGCGGCACUAGCGCGGUGGUCCCACCUGACCCCAUGCCGAACUCAGAAGUGAAACGCCGUAGCGCCGAUGGUAGUGUGGGGUCUCCCCAUGCGAGAGUAGGGAACUGCCAGGAUC